rnacentral:sRNA from 1 species
GCUGAGGGAAGAAUCAUGGGAAAGAGAUUGGGAAGGAGAAAGUCACUUGACUCACAGGCCAACUGCUAUGGACUGAAUUGUGUCUUCCCCUCAUUAAUAUGUUGAAACCCUAUCCUCCCUCCAAUGUGAUGGUAUUUGCAGAUGGGGCUUUUGGGAAGUAAUGAAGUUUAGAUGAGGCAUGAGGGCUGGAUGGAUAUGAUCAGAUGAGUGCCCAAAGAAGAGACACCAGAGAGCUAGCUUCUUCUUUCUCUUUCCACCUUUACACACUGAGAAAAGGCCAAGUGAGCACACACCAAGAAGGCAGCCAUCUGCAAACCCAAGGAGAGAGUCCUCACUAGACACCCUGCUGGUACCUUGAUCUUGGACUUCUAGCCUCCAGAACUGUGAGAAAUAAAUUCCUGUUGUUCAAGCUAGUAUUAAUACCUGGUGUUUUGUUAUGGCAGCCUAAGUGACUAAGACACCAACUUAAUUUACUUAGCCAGGGUCAAUCAGUGGUAGGGCCCAGGAUUCUGACCCAGUUCUGCCUAACUCCACAAUUCAUGCUUUUUCUGGAUAUAAACAUCUGCCUUCCCAGUUUCCCUGACUCUUAGAGCCGUGGAGCAGUGUGUGUCAUGUGCUGCACACCCAGGCUGGAACAGCCUGUCUCCAGGAGAAAACGAAUACAGCAGGGAUGACUUCCACCAGCUCCACUUUGCAGCUCUGAGGUGUAUUAAAAAUGACCUGGAAGAAGUCAUGCCACGGGCCAGACCUUAACAUUCCUUUCGGCUUACCCCAGGAUUUCAGACGAAGCUUCACUUUCCUAACCAGUCACAAAUCAGAGAAUUUUUGAUUCCACCUAUGACCUGUGAGCUCCUGCUUCAAGAUAUUCCACCUUUUUUAGGCCAAACCAAUGUAUAACCUCCAAGUGUCGAUUUACACUUUCGACUGUAACUUCUGCUUUCCUGAGAUUUACCCCUGCCUUUAAAAACCCUUGCUUGUAAUCCCUCAGGGAGGCCGUGUAUUUAUUAAUCAUGAGCUGCCCAAUUCUCCUUGCUUGGUGCCCUGCAAAUAAACACCCUCUUUUCUCCCACUGCAAAA